UACGAGGGGGGCUAGCGUUGUUCGGAAUUACUGGGCGUAAAGCGCACGCAGGCGGCUCGAUAAAUUAGAAGUGAAAGCCCCGGGCUUAACCUGGGAAUUGCAUUUAAGACUGAAUGGCUAGAGAUCGAGAGAGGAAAGUGGAAUUGUGAGUGUAGAGGUGAAAUUCGUAGAUAUUCACAAGAACACCAGUGGCGAAGGCGGCUUUCUGGCUCGAUACUGACGCUAAGGCGCGAAAGCGUGGGGAGCAAACAGG
rnacentral:rRNA from 1 species